AGAACGAACGCUGGCGGCGUGCCUAACACAUGCAAGUCGAGGGAGAAAAGGGGCUUCGGCCUCUGAGUAAACCGGCGCACGGGUGAGUAACGCGUAGGUAACGUACCCUAGAGUCCGGGAUAACCAGUCGAAAGAUUGGCUAAUACCGGAUACGACUACGGCAGCUCCGGCUGCUGUAGUGAAAGAUGGCCUCUGUUUACAUGCUAUCACUCAUGGAUCGGCCUGCGCACCAUUAGCUAGUUGGUGAGGUAACGGCUCACCGAGGCUGAGAUGGUUAGCUGGUCUGAGAGGAUGGCCAGCCACACUGGGACUGAGACACGGCCCAGACUCCUACGGGAGCAGCAGUGGGGAAUAUUGCGCAAUGGGCGAAAGCCUGACGCAGCGACGCCGCGUGGGUCGAUGAAGGCC
rnacentral:rRNA from 1 species